CUUAUUUAAUGCUUAUGUGACUGGAAUAAACUCAGCGUGAAGAGAUACAGAGCUUGCACAAUAAUUUUUGCUCUUUAAAGUUUUUUUUAUCUACCAUCUAAUCUUUAAAUCAAGACCAUGAGUGCUGUUAAUGUUGUGCAACUGUUCGUUCUUGUGUUGGUCUUUAACACUGUCUGUCAAGCAGAUGAAGCUUUCUGCAGUGUAAGCUGUGAUAAUGUGACUGGAUCUGUGGGGAGAGAAGCAACUUUCACCUGCAGUGUCUCCGAGCAGUGCGCUAAAUGUUGUAUAAUAAUGUAUGUAUUUCAAUACCCUGAGAGCUAUAAAGACUCAACAGUCUGUAAACAAGAGUUUUAUAUGGACCCCUGUGAAAAGAGAAACAGCUUCACAUGCCGCUACACUCCACCUACAGCAAUGACAGCAAAAUUCAGAUUCUUUGUGCAAACAAUGUGUACAAUAAAAAGAACUGAAUUCAGCGUCAACAUACCAGGGGCCAUUAAACCAGAAAUUGAAAUUGAGGCUCCUGGCAAGAAAGAGAAAUUCAACCCCAACUUAUCAAAAACAUCUCAACAAGAGACGGCAGAAAAAGGUCUGACUUUUAAGGGAUGUCUUCAUUAAUUAUUUUGCAUUUGCAAAGUAAUAAGAGCUUAUUCAUUACUGUUACUGGUAUAUUCUGGA
ensembl:lncRNA